ACCGUUUCUUCACAGUAAGGUGGGAACUUCUGCUGUAAAGAUGGUCCUCUCUUUGCAUUCCAGAUGUUCGCUGAGCUUCUUGCUUUCCACUGGAAGUCGUUCUAUAAUCGGCUUUGCUUUUCUUUCACCCUACGUUUCCUCCCGGAAACAAGGAGCACCAGAAACAGAACCAGACGCGUAAAGAGCUGAGGUUCCAGAAGGGAGCAGAGACAAACUUACCUCCUGGGAUGGUGGAUCUGGAGCCACGGUCACUUUAAAGGACAGCAGGAAUCUCACUUUGUCAAGGGAAGACAAUCUCAUCUGGUGGACCUCAGCUGCAGCGUGGGACCUGGGCUCGCCCCCCCACAGAACCGGCCUGCCCACGACCCCGUGGAAGCUGG